AUGUCAUCCUCACUCCCUCUCUAUCCUCUCUCUCCCCUCUCCUCGGCGCCGACGCUUCCCAUCCACGCAUUACUCAACACGGUGGCCGCCGACGCCGACCCACCUCGCGUCGUCCUCGUCUUCGGCGGCGGGCCCAUCCGCGUCGGCGCCGAGCUCCUCGACGCCGUCCCGUCGCUCCGCUGCAUCAUCACCAUCAGCGCGGGGAUCAACCACAUCGACCUCCGCGAGUGCGUGUGUCGCGGCGUACAGGUCGUCAACGCCGGCGGGGUCUACUCCACCGCUGUCGGCCCUGUUCGACGUGCUCGUCGUGGCGUGCGUGCUGACGGCGGAGACACGGCACAUCUGGACUGGGGGCGUGCUUGACGCGCUGGGGGAGCACCGCGUCGUCGCCCGCUUCUGCUAUAGGGAGCAGCUGGAUCUCCAUCGGGUUGCAGCUGCAAAUGCAAAGGAAAAGAGGUUUCUUUUGAGGACUAUCUCGUCAUCACCAGUUCAACCUUUAUGAAUUUCAGAGAUUGUAUCUUUUUUUCUUUUGGUGGUAACAUUCUUCCCCAAUCUGCCUUCUGUUUCUUCAAAGAUAAGGGCUGGUCGGGGAUUUAGGAACUCAUUCGGUUUUCAUUUUU